AUUCCGUCUGAAGAGAUACACUAUUGUCUUUUAAGAAGCCCGGCGCGGAAACACAGGAACUCAACCGUGUGUGUUAAAUUCAAGCACGUGUCUGUCUUAGCUGGGGUGUUCGCCUAACCGCCCCAGUCCCACGAAGCCAGAGGGAGAAGGCGGGGUUAUGGCCUCCAUCACCGCAUCAGGGCCUCCCAUCACAGCCCCAGACAGGCCCCUGAGAAGCUGCCACAGAAAAGGUAAAAAUGCCCAGGUCCUGGGCCAGCACAGCUAAAACCCUCCAACGGUUGAAGGUGAGCGUAAAAAGCGAAAAAGAAUAGAACAAGCUAGAAAGAGGAAGGUGCAGGAAGGAGAAGCGAGUUUCAGAGGAACUGAGCAGAGCGCUCAGAGAUACUCUUGACCACACGCCAGGAGGCGGCAUCUCCCGGCGAGAAGCAGCGCCCUCUAGCGGUUAGACUCCGCGCGGCCGCCGGGGCGGCUCAUCGUCCCGCCGUUUCUAGCCCGAGCUGCCUAUUUACACCCCCGGCUACCGCGCUGUUCCCAGCCGCUGCUCUCCCUGCUGCACCUGCCCUGCCCGCCUUCCUCCUCUUCACACACCUCCGUCCUCUGACCCCCUGGGUGGAAGGCUGCCCCCUAGCUCCCGCGUUGCUCCUGUCAGAGGCCUGCAAGGGCUCCUGGAGGGCCGAGGCUCAGGUGACCACUUCCCAGCAGUCGUGCAGCGCCCUCCGAGGCCCCUGAGUGCUGUCCUCUCCUCCUGCUCCCAGUUCUGCCCUCUUCUCAUUUCUGGUCUCGGAGUCAAGGAGUUUCCAGGCCGACUGUGCUCAGGGGGCCUCAGUCCUUGGAGUUAAAGGUCUUUUUCUAGCGACCAGGAGCUCUGGGAAGGACACAAGGGCCCUGAACCACACUUCCUAAAAACUGAAUGCCCCUCUUCUGGGCCGCAGACCCUGGUCCUCCUUUCAUGAUAAGACUCACCUCCUAGUGCCAAGGCCAUGCUGCUCGUGCCGCACGUGCGGUCUAUUUGGGUUUGUUUUUUAAACCUUGGAGAAAUCUAUCCCUGACUUGUUGAAUGUUCUUUGCGCUGACAAGAUAUACAACUGUGGUGAAAGGGAAUUCCCUGCUGGUGGAGGGGUUAGGACUCAGCACUUUCACUGCUAUUGGCCCCGGGUUCAGUCUCUGGUCUGGGAACUAAGAUUUUGGUGUGCCUAAAAAACACCAAAAAAUAAACAAAAACAACAAAAUAAACCA
rnacentral:lncRNA from 1 species